CAGUAGCCACGGGAAUACGUAGGGUGCAAGCGUUAUCCGGAAUUAUUGGGCGUAAAGAGCUCGUAGGCGGUUUGUCGCGUCUGCUGCGAAAACUGGAGGCUCAACCUCCAGCCUGCAGUGGGUACGGGCAGACUAGAGUGCGGUAGGGGAGAUUGGAAUUCCUGGUGUAGCGGUGGAAUGCGCAGAUAUCAGGAGGAACACCGAUGGCGAAGGCAGAUCUCUGGGCCGUAACUGACGCUGAGGAGCGAAAGCGUGGGGAGCGAACAGGAUUAGAUACCCCCGUAGUCCCUGUCUCUUAUAC
rnacentral:rRNA from 1 species